AUUGGAACAGUGUGUAAGUCGCUCUGGAUAAGAGCGUCUGCUAAAUGACGUAAA
rfam:Salmo salar isolate Sally breed double haploid chromosome ssa09, whole genome shotgun sequence.